GACGAACGCUGGCGGCGUGCUUAACACAUGCAAGUCGAACGGAAAGGCCCUGCUUUUGUGGGGUGCUCGAGUGGCGAACGGGUGAGUAACACGUGAGUAACCUGCCCUUGACUUUGGGAUAACUUCAGGAAACUGGGGCUAAUACCGGAUAGGAGCUCCUGCUGCAUGUUGGGGGUUGGAAAGUUUCGGCGGUUGGGUAUGGACUCGCGGCUUAUCAGCUUGUUGGUGGGGUAGUGGCUUACAAAGGCUUUGACGGGUAGCCGGCCUGAGAGGGGGACCGGCCCCAUUGGGACUGAGAUACGGCCCAGACUCCUACGGGAGGCAGCAGUGGGGAAUAUUGCACAAUGGGCGGAAGCAGGAUGCAGCAACGCCGCGUGCGGGAUGACGGCCUUCGGGUUGUAAAACGCUUUCGCCUGUGACGAAGCGUGAGUGACGGUAAUGGGUAAAGAAGCACCGGCUAACUACGU
rnacentral:rRNA from 1 species